AGCAUCAACGGUGUACAGGAGAAUGACCUAUGAUUUGACAGACCGUGCAGCUGUGUAUGUCUGUCAUUCUGUAGGCCAAUAUUCUGUAUGUCACUGCUACUUA
rnacentral:pre_miRNA from 7 species